AUGGAUGCAGUCGCAGAUUUUGGGACCCUGCCCUCUCCAGGUCCACAUCCCUUUGAUGGACUUUCAAAUAGAGAGCAGUUUUAUGAAGCAUUCUUCAAAGUGGCUCUAUUCCAAUGUGCCAACUAUGACUACACCUUCGGCUCAGGGACCAGGCUAUCAGUAGUAGAGAACCUGAGCAGGGUGACCCCACCCACAGUCACUGUGUUUGAGCCAUCAGAAGCAGAGAUCUCCCGGAAAAAUAAAGCCACGCUCGUGUGCCUGGCCACAGGCUUCUAUCCCGACCAUGUGGAGCUAAGCUGGUGGGUGAAUGGCAAGGAGGUCCACAAUGGGGUCAGCACAGAUGCUCAGCCCUACCUGGAGCGGCCCAAUGACAAGAACUCCACCUACUGCCUGAGCAGCCGCCUGAGGGUUUCAGCUGCCUUCUGGCACAAUCCCCGCAACCACUUCCGCUGCCAAGUCCAGUUCUAUGGGCUCACAGAGGAAGACGAGUGGACCCAGAAUCGGGCCAAACCUGUCACCCAGAACAUCAGUGCUGAGACCCAGGGCAGAGCAGACUGUGGCUUCACCUCAGCAUCCUAUCAGCAAGGGGUCCUGUCUGCCACUAUCCUUUAUGAGAUCCUGCUGGGGAAAGCUACACUGUAUGCUGUGCUGGUCAGUGCCCUUGUGCUGAUGGCCAUGGUCAAGAAAAAUAAUUCCUGAAGUCAGCCGUGGAGGUGGAGCCAGGAGCCUCCAAUCCAUUGUAGUCAAUAUGGAUUCUUCUUUUUCUGUGCUUCUGAAGGCCUGUUCUCAUCUCUGUACUUACCCUUAGUACUUGUUCACCUGCCCACCCAUAGAUGAAAUCUCCCUAACCCUAAAGGAAGUCUAUCAUGCCUAGUACCUGAACCAUUAAAAAUGUCUUGGUCUUGCCUGACUCUGACUUGGGUGUCUAAAUAUCACUGGUCUAUCUCUAAACUCUUUGUGGUGCUCUAUGUUCAGUC